rnacentral:rRNA from 1 species
GAUGAACGCUGACAGAAUGCUUAACACAUGCAAGUCAACUUGAACUUCGGUUUGGGUGGCGGACGGGUGAGUAACGCGUAAAGAACUUGCCUCACAGCUAGGGACAACAUUUGGAAACGAAUGCUAAUACCUGAUAUUAUGAUUAUAUGGCAUCGUAUAAUUAUGGAAGCUAUAUGCGCUGUGAGAGAGCUUUGCGUCCCAUUAGCUAGUUGGAGAGGUAACAGCUCACCAAGGCGAUGAUGGGUAGCCGGCCUGAGAGGGUGAUCGGCCACAAGGGGACUGAGACACGGCCCUUACUCCUACGGGAGGCAGCAGUGGGGAAUAUUGGACAAUGGACCGAGAGUCUGAUCCAGCAAUUCUGUGUGCACGAUGAAGUUUUUCGGAAUGUAAAGUGCUUUCAGUUGGGAAGAAAAAAAUGACGGUACCAACAGAAGAAGAGACGGCUAAAUACGUG